GACGUAGGGCGCGAGCGUUGUCCGGAUUUAUUGGGCGUAAAGAGCUCGUAGGCGGCUUGUCGCGUCGACUGUGAAAACCCGUGGCUCAACCAUGUGGUCUGCAGUCGAUACGGGCAGGCUAGAAUUCGGUAGGGGAGACUGGAAUUCCUGGUGUAGCGGUGAAAUGCGCAGAUAUCAGGAGGAACACCGGUGGCGAAAGCGCUCAUCUGGCCCAAUACUGACGCUGAGGCGCGAAAGCUAGGGGAGCAAACGGG
rnacentral:rRNA from 1 species